rnacentral:rRNA from 1 species
GAUGAACGCUGGCGGCGUGCCUAAUACAUGCAAGUCGAGCGAACGGACGAGAAGCUUGCUUCUCUGAUGUUAGCGGCGGACGGGUGAGUAACACGUGGAUAACCUACCUAUAAGACUGGGAUAACUUCGGGAAACCGGAGCUAAUACCGGAUGAUAUUUUGAACCGCAUGGUUCAAAAGUGAAAGACGGUCUUGCUGUCACUUAUAGAUGGAUCCGCGCUGCAUUAGCUAGUUGGUAAGGUAACGGCUUACCAAGGCAACGAUGCAUAGCCGACCUGAGAGGGUGAUCAGCCACACUGGAACUGAGACACGGUCCAGACUCCUACGGGAGGCAGCAGUAGGGAAUCUUCCGCAAUGGGCGAAAGCCUGACGGAGCAACGCCGCGUGAGUGAUGAAGGUCUUCGGAUCGUAAAACGCUGUUAUUAGGGAAGAACAUAUGUGUAAGUAACUGUGCACAUCUUGACGGUACCUAAUCAGAAAGCCACGGCUAACUACGUG